GUUUUUAUUGUAGUGUUAACAUUAACAUUAUUGUGCAUUUAACAGAAAGUAAAAAUUAAAUUUAUAACAUGAUUGUGAAGAUCUUAAAAAUAGGAGUGUAAAAUUAAGAAAUGUAUUUAAUUUGUAACCAAUAAUGCAAUCAAUUGAUGUGUAUGUAAACCACAAUUGCAACAACUGAGCUAAUUUUAUUUCUUUUUCUUUUUGAAUUAUGCUAAAUAUUGUUCCGAUUCUUUACCCUAACCUAC